rnacentral:rRNA from 1 species
AUUGAACGCUGGCGGCAGGCCUAACACAUGCAAGUCGAGCGAGCGGCGCACGGGUGUGUUAUGUCUGGGACUGCCCCUGAUGGAGGGGGAUCACUACUGGAAACGAUAUCUAAUACCGCAUACUAUCAGGUGCGCCCAGAUGGGAUUAGCUAGUAGGGGGGGUAAAGGCUCACUUAGGCGACGAUCCCGAGCUGGUCUGAGAGGAUGACCAGCCACACUGGAACUGAGACACGGCCCAGACUCCUACGGGAGGCAGCAGUGGGGAAUAUUGCACAAUGGGCGCAAGCCUGAUGCAGCCAUGCCGCGUGUGUGAAGAAGGCCUUCGGGUUGUAAAGCACUUUCAGCGAGGAGGCGUUACUCGCAGAAGAAGCACCGGCUAACUCCGUGCCAGCAGCCGCGGUAAUAC